rnacentral:lncRNA from 1 species
AUUAUGAUCUUUUAAUUGAGAAUUUAUUCCCCAAUACUUUCUUGUUCUUAUCGUAAAUCUUGGAUUGUUGCUUGUCCAUCCGACAUCUUUCUCCACUUCCUUCAUCGAAAAAUUUAAAAUCAACGUAUUACUUAUAUAAGCAGAUGAUCAAUUCUGUUUGAAAGAUAGAGGAAACACUUUUUUACUUUUGAUUUUUCUUGUGAAAGAAGCCGAAGCUGUAUGUAUACUCUAGACUAUAUAUCUUAUAGAGGG